rnacentral:rRNA from 1 species
UACGUAGGGGGCAAGCGUUGUCCGGAGUUACUGGGCGUAAAGCGCACGCAGGCGGUCGAUUAAGUUUGGAGUGACAGUUGGUGGCUUAACUGCCAAAGUGCUUUGAAAACUGAUCGACUUGAGGGCUUCAGAGGGACACGGAAUUCCGGGUGGAGUGGUGAAAUGCGUAGAGAUCCGGAGGAACACCAGUGGCGAAAGCGACCUUCUGGGCUGCACCUGACACUCUAGUGCGAAAGCGUGGGGAGCAAACAGG